rnacentral:rRNA from 1 species
GACGAACGCUGGCGGCGUGCUUAACACAUGCAAGUCAGGGGGCGGAGCAAUCCGUCACCGGCGAACGGGUGCGUAACACGUGAGCGACCUGCCCAGGGAUGGGGGAUAGCCGGCCCAACGGCCGGGUAAUACCGCAUACGACGCCGGCUUGAGCGCCGGACGUGAAAGCCCGCAAGGGCGUCCGUGGAGGGGCUCGCGGCCUAUCAGCUAGUUGGUGCGGUAACGGCGCACCAAGGCGAUGACGGGUAGCUGGUCUGAGAGGAUGGCCAGCCACAUUGGGACUGAGAGACGGCCCAGACUCCUACGGGAGGCAGCAGUGGGGAAUCUUGCGCAAUGGCCGAAAGGCUGACGCAGCGACGCCGCGUGGAGGAUGAC